rnacentral:rRNA from 1 species
AAUAUUGCGCAAUGGGGGAAACCCUGACGCAGCGACGCCGCGUGAUCGAUGAAGGCCUNCGGGUCNUNAAGUUCUGUCCUCCGGGNCGAAUAAAUGACGGUACCUGAGGAGUAAGCCCCGGCUAACUACGUGCCAGCAGCCGCGGUAAUACGUGGGGGGCAAGCGUUGUCCGGAAUUAUUGGGCGUAAAGGGUGCGUAGGCGGAGUUUUAAGUCAGAUGUAAAAGCCCACAGCUUAACUGUAGGAGUGCAUUUGAAACUGAAGGGCUAGAGUGUAGGAGAGGGUAGUGGAAUUCCCGGAGUAGCGGUGAAAUGCGUAGAUAUCGGGAGGAACAGCAGUGGAGAAGGCGACUACCUGGAAGACAACUGACGCUGAGGCAAGAAAGCUAGGGGAGCAAAC